rnacentral:lncRNA from 1 species
UUUCAUAUGUUUCUUCCUUUUUGCUAAUUCCAAAGGGGGAGAAGACUUGGUUCUCUAAUGGUUUCUCUAUGCAGAAUUUUGUAUGCCUCUCAUUUAGGGGGAGUUCUUAAACUUAGGGGGAGAAUCAAAUUAGAGAAACUUCACUUUCAAGCAUCUAUCUCAAAGUUGGUUGUCAUCAUCAAAAAGGGGGAGAUUGUAGAAGCAAGCUUCAAUCCAAAAAGUAUUUUGAUGAAGACAACAUGUAU